UACGUAGGGUGCAAGCGUUGUCCGGAAUUAUUGGGCGUAAAGGGCUCGUAGGCGGUCCAUCGCGUCGGGAGUGAAAAGCUGGGGCUUAACCCCAGUCCUGCUUCCGAUACGGGUGGACUAGAGGUAGGUAGGGGAGAUCGGAAUUCCUGGUGUAGCGGUGGAAAUGACGCAGAUAUCAGGAAGAACACCAAUGGCGAAAGCAGCUUCUGGGACGGUACUGACGCUGAGACGCGAAAGCGUGGGGAGCGAACAGG
rnacentral:rRNA from 1 species